AUUGAACGCUGGCGGCAUGCCUUACACACGCAAGUCGAACGGUAGAGUAGCAAUACUUGAGAGUGGCGAACGGGUGAGUAAUGCAUCGGAACAUGCCCAGUCGUGGGGGAUAACGUAGCGAAAGUUACGCUAAUACCGCAUACGAUCUAUGGAUGAAAGCGGGGGACUCGCAAGAGCCUCGCGCGAUUGGAGUGGCCGAUGUCAAAUUAGGUAGUUGGUGGGGUAAAAGCCCACCAAGCCAACGAUCUGUAGCUGGUCUGAGAGGACGACCAGCCACACUGGGACUGAGACACGGCCCAGACUCCUACGGGAGGCAGCAGUGGGGAAUUUUGGACAAUGGACGAAAGUCUGAUCCAGCAAUGCCGCGUGCAGGACGAAGGCCUUCGGGUUGUAAACUGCUUUUGUACGGAGCGAAAAGCUUUGGAUUAAUACUCCGAGGUCAUGACGGUACCGUAAGAAUAAGCACCGGCUGACUACGUGCCAGCAGCCGCAGUAA
rnacentral:rRNA from 1 species